AUUGCUUGAGGUUCAACACCAGCCUGGGCAAUAUAGUGAGACCUAGUAUCUACAACAGAAUAAUCAGCUGGGCAUAAUGUGCACCUGCAGUCCCAGUACUCGGGAAGCUAUGGAGGGAGGGUCACUUAAGGCCAGGAAUCAGAGAUUGCAGUUAACUAUUAUGAUGACACUGUACUCUACCCCAGGCAAUAGAACAAGAUCCUGUCUCAAAAAAAUAAAAAAUAAAAAGAAUCUGCCACUAUACACCUAUCAGAAUGGCCAAAAUCCAGAACACCGACUACACGAAAUGCUGGUGGGGAUAUGGAGCCACAGGAACUCAUCUACUGCUGGUCCUACGGCCAGCAGCAUGCUCACCCACACCUCAUCCUGGCACAGCGUAGAGAGAGACGGAUGGCAAUACUUGCUGCAGCCAUUAAAGUGAAAUUAAUCUGCCAUCUCGGCAGCCCCAGACUGAUGAUCACACAAAAAUUCAUUUAUAAUUGCUUACUUCUACUUCACAACAUUCCUUCCAGUGUUUCUGUCCUCUGAAGCUAAAGAAGUCCAUUAACAAUGCAUUAUUUCUUAAUAACUUUUAAAAUUAAUGUUGAUUGGAAGUAUGUCCUCACAUCAACUUACUAGAUCUGACUUCUCCACACACUGGUGAGCUCCCCCACCCCAUGAGUGGCAGGCAGGAGCCUGGGUUUUGUUUGGUUCAAAGCUCUGCUGCACAGGCCCAUGGUGGGUGGCCAGGGAGGGACAGACUAGGCUGAGGGUGGCCUCCUCUGCAGAACCAAAGCACCUUCUAGGGUUGGAAUGGGAGAAUGAAGAGACACAUUCACUUUAUAUUACACAAAAAAGGAAACAAGGUUAAAAUGAAGUUUAUUAUUUUUUUGAUUUUUUUUUUUGUUUUUUUAAAUAAAACUGUUUGUGAAACAGCUAGUUUAUCCCCAUGGCAGAGUGACCCCGAAAGAUGCACUAACCCCUUCUUAAGGCCUUAACAAGAUUUUUUUGUACUUUUUUCUUUUUUUUAGAACUCAGAUAUUUAAAAAUUAUACAUUUUACAAAACAAAACAAUACAACACAACAUAAAGAAUCAUGUAGCACAGGGCUGCCUAUCUGACAGACCUCCUUUUCCUUUAUAAAAAUAAAAGCAAAAAGAAAAGAGUUAAGUGAGUGCUCCUCGUCCGUUUAAUGCACACUGAUCACACCGACAAUCCCUCCCUGUCACUGCCCACAGCUCUCACUGCCUGUGCUGGCAGCAGAGGCCUGGGCUUCCUCCUGUCCCUGUGGGUCCCUGUGGUCAGGGCACAGCUGCCUGGAAUGUGCUGAGGACAAAGGGCCCAGAGGGCCCCAGCACAGGUCACCCCUUAAUUCUGCCUGCUGCUCCAAGGUCGUUGUGUACACUUGGGGCGGGGGGGGGGCUUCAGAUCCUUUCCAACUACAGGGACCCAGGACAUAGUUACAACCUCAGACAUCUGACAGUUUUACCCCCCACAAAAAAAGAUAAAAAUUAAAAAAAAAUAAAUAGUGUUUCUGGAAAUGAAAAAUUUAUUUUUGUGUUUAGACAUCAUUCCCCCACUCUUGAAAACAUGGACCAUUCCCUCUUCCCUCCCCCCAAAACCUUCCCACUUGGAGACAAAUUAAUGACAAAAGGAUGGUUCAGGUGUGGUUUGCCUGCUCUUUCAAUCCUGGGUCUAGUGUUCUCGAAUUGGUGAGCAACAGGCUGAAGAUCAAAGCCACACACACCCUGUCCUUCAUGAGAUGAGGGUUUGUUCACUUCAAUUUCACAUUUGAUUUUCACUGUCAUUGGAACAAAUUUGGAAUUCUUUAACUAGAUAAUUUUAAAAUAGAAUCAAAAGGGAUAGCGCACCUUUCAUUUAAACAAAGUCUUUCCAGACUAAAAA